GCGCAAAGUUGCCUGUUUUCCUGCCCCAUCUCCUGCUUUACUGUGCUGAGCUGGGACAGCGUGUGUGAAGCAGCCCAAGCCCACAUCCUAGCUGCACCCAGGUUGUGGGCACCAGAGCGGUGGUCUGAGGAACAGAGGUUGACUGGAGUCGGUGGAAGAGAGCAGAGUCUGGUACGAGACCACGCACGCCCAGAGGGUGGGAGGAGGAGUUCCCUGGUAACUAGUGCACAGAGGAUGAGCUGAAGGACUUGUAAGAUGGUUAGAUCCCUACCUCAUGCCACCCACGGAAACAGAGUCCAGGUGGAGGGAUGGCUUUACAGAGAGCAUGGGGACCUA
rnacentral:lncRNA from 1 species